GUGUUGAGUAAAUGAAUGCAUGAACAAACAAAUGAAUGGCGCAAACUCUCCUCUCUCGCGCUCAGACUUGCAGAGGGAAGCGGAGGGGAAAUCUGCUAGGGCUCAUGCCCUCCUCGGAAUACACGUGGAGCAAACUCGGAGGAAAAGAAGACUGCAUCUCCGGUACAGCCCAUUAUAAGAGAGGAGAAAGGAACACGCGCCCCACAGUCAAGUCUUCAGAUGAUCCAGCCCCAGCUGCUCUAUGACUGCAACAGCAUGACGAAUCCCAAGAAGGUGCUGCUCAGCAGAGUCCAGUCAACUCCCAGAGCUAUCGGGUAUACAGGACAAAAUCCCCAUCAUGAAGAGGAUUUCCCACGAUACAACCCAUCAUCUGAUCCCCCAACACUGCUGAAAGACCACCGGCCCUAGUCUGUCAGGGCUUCAGAUGGCCAGUUCCCCCUCUCAGACUCCUGGGAUGGGAUCAUGUACCUGGGAUGGGCCCAGCAACCCAAAGCUGGUGCCAGCGCAACCAGCAGCUAAUGAUUAUGCCC